AACGAACGCUGGCGGCAGGCUUAACACAUGCAAGUCGAACGCACCGCAAGGUGAGUGGCAGACGGGUGAGUAACACGUGGGGAUCUGCCCAAUGGUACGGAAUAGCUCCGGGAAACUGGAAUUAAUACCGUAUGAGCCCGCAAGGGGAAAGAUUUAUCGCCAUUGGAUGAACCCGCGUCGGAUUAGGUAGUUGGUGUGGUAAAGGCGCACCAAGGCGACGAUCCGUAGCUGGUCUGAGAGGAUGAUCAGCCACACUGGGACUGAGACACGGCCCAGACUCCUACGGGAGGCAGCAGUGGGGAAUAUUGGACAAUGGGCGCAAGGCUGAUCCAGCCAUGCCGGGUGAGUGAUGAAGGCCUUAGGGUUGUAUAGCUCUUUCGCCGACGAAGAUAAUGACGGUAGUCGGAGAAGAAGCCCCGGCUAACUUCGUGCCAGCCGCCGCGGUAAAAC
rnacentral:rRNA from 1 species